CAUGCUAAUUAACCCCCCCCCUCUCCCCCUCAGAGCCCGCCCGCUCCCCCGUGCUUUUCCCGCUCUACACCUGCCAGGACUGCGAGGAUCAGGUGACCUUCGCCUGCCUGGCUUCCGGUUUUUUCCCGUCGCCGGCCGAGAUCACGUGGGAGGGCGUGGCCGAGGGCGGGGCCAUCCGGGAGUUCCAGGAAGUGCUGAUGGGCGCCGGCCGCUACGACCGCAGCUCCCGGGUCACGGUGGGCGUGGCCGAGGCCGAGGGAGUGACCUUCCGGUGCCGGGCGGAGCAUCGGGGGAGCAGCGUCAGCAUCGACAUGGAAGGCUGCCCCCGCCCUCUCGUGGAUUUUUCCGUCUCCCUCCUGAGCGACCCCCAGCUGUCCCACCUGGAGCUGCCCCAGGUGCUCCUCCUCUGCCAGGUGAGGGGGCGGGGCUCCGACGAGGCCACCCUCACCUGGUUUGUCAACGGUGACGUCGCCGAGAUGGAGGCGGAGCUCUCCACCUGCGAGGAGGGCGGGGCCGGGGAGGUGACGCUGAGCGGCCGCGUCAACGUCAGCCGGGAAUUGUGGGAUGCGGGAGCCACCUUCACCUGCCAGGCGGGCCACGCCCAGCUGGCCACGCCCCGCAACGCCUCCAUCAGCACCUUCUGCAAAG